AGACGCGGCGUACGGCUCAGUAACAUGUGGCUAACCUACCCUUAGGACGGGGACAACCCCGGGAAACUGGGGCUAACACCCGAUAGGUGAGGAGGCCUGGAAUGGUUCCUAGUCGAAAAGGCGUUGAAACCAUGCUUUUCGACGUCGCCUAAGGAUGGGGCCGCGCCCGAUCAGGUUGUUGGUGGGGUAACGGCUCACCAAGCCUAUAACCGGUACGGGCCGUGAGAGCGGGAGCCCGGAGAUGGGCACUGAGACAAGGGCCCAGGCCCUACGGGGCGCAGCAGUCGCGAAAACUCCGCAAUGCGCGAAAGCGUGACGGGGCUACCCCGAGUGCCGUCCGCUGAGGAUGGCUUUUCCCCGGUGUAAUGAGCCGGGGGAAUAAGGAGAGGGCAAGUCUGGUGUCAGCCGCCGCGGUAAUACCAGCUCUCCGAGUGGUAGGGAUGAUUAUUGGGCUUAAAGCGUCCGUAGCCGGCUUAGCAAGUCUCCUGUUAAAUUCAGCGACCUAAUCGUUGAGCCGCGGGAGAUACUACUAGGCUAGGAGGCGGGAGACGCCGACGGUAUUCUCGGGGUAGGGGUGAAAUCCUAUAAUCCCG
rnacentral:rRNA from 1 species